rnacentral:rRNA from 1 species
UACAGAGGGUGCAAGCGUUAAUCGGAUUUACUGGGCGUAAAGGGCGCGUAGGUGGUUACGUAAGUGAGAUGUGAAAUCCCCGGGCUUAACCUGGGAACAGCAUAUUAGACUGCGUAACUGGAGUGCAGUAGAGGGUAGAGGAAUUUCCGGUGUAGCGGUGAAAUGCGUAGAUAUCGGAAGGAACACCAGUGGCGAAGGCGUCUACCUGGACUGACACUGACACUGAGGCGCGAGAGCGUGGGGAGCAAACAGG